UGAUAAUCAAACCUAGCGCUAAUUAGAUUUAUGAUAGUUUGCUUAAUGCUGUGUGAAGAAUGGGGUCAUUCAUCUCGUGCGUCAUGUUGUAAAAACGAAAUUUGGCAUCAAUACUCAAUAUACAGGUUUAAAUACCAGCGGACGAACCCUAGAUUUUUAGCAAAAUUGUUUAUUUCUAGUCAAUUUUACAAAAAAUUCCAUUUCUAAACUUCGAACUUCCCUUUUCUGAAAAAUCCCAAAAAAAUCGCGAGAUUGACUUUUUCAAAUAAAAAUAAAAAAAAAAUCCCAACUGCUUAAAAAAAUCCCGAGAUCUCGGGAUAAAAUCCCGGACUUGGCAACGCUGAAGAAUGACUUGGCCUCCAUUGAAUACAAAAAUACUCAAUAUUUAUUUAAAUUUUACAACAACAGUAAUGUUUCAUCAAUGAUUUAAUGUGUGUAACCACCACGUUUCUCGAUCACCCCAAGGCAUCGACUAAGAUAUAGCCAUCUCUAUUCCUCCUGCAACAAUUGAGCCAAGUCAGCCAGAGUGCUGUAUUCUUCGAAACGACGAUAGACAGAUCGCUUUUGCUUGUCCCAAAGUCUCAGUCGAGAAGUGUGGUGUAUACACCCAUUGUUAAAUCAUUGAUGAAACAAUUUACUGUUGUACGUUGUGAAAUUUAAAUCAAGUCAUUUUCGUUAAUUUUGAAAUUGGGUAUUUUUGUAAUCAAUGGAAGUUAUUCUUUAAAGCACGAAUGACUCCAUUCUUCAAACAGCAUUAAGCAAACUACCAUAGGUCUAAUUAUUGCCGAGGUGUGAUUAUCAGGUAAUCUUUUUUUUAGAACUUAUGAUUAUAUAUUUAAUUAGGGGGGGACUUCCUUUUUGUCCUUUUUGUGCGGUGUUUAUAUAUCUCAUCUUUCGUUUCCUGUAUGCAAAUCAUUCCGAUCAUAGAAACAUAUCGACAUAUAUUACGACUAAAUGGAAACCAGUGUCGUUACAUUGUGUUUUUUUUUAUCUCCAUUCAAUCAUUCGAACAACAUUCAUGUUAUCCUGUUAAUUUUAAUAAGCACACAUGGAAUUUGAAUUUUCAAUAUUUCGUUGAGAAUAAGCGAAUGCAAACGUUGAUGUUUCUGCAAACAGGAAAUCGACUGUAUUUUUAAAAAG